CCCUGCUGUCAGGCCCAAGGGAAGUUCGGAUGCCUUUCCCAGAGGAGGAAGGGAAAGUGCGGAACAAACAGCAAAUCCCAGCAAGGGCCCGCUGCAGGCACCUGCCUGCACCUUGACAGGCUGAUGCGGACGCUUCCAGCGCCUGUCUCUCCCUCAUUUCUCACCGGAGAAGACCCAACGAUAUCGAUAUCUUCCUGUAUUUCUCUCCGUGACCUGUGGCCCAAGAAACAGCCUAAUGUUUUUCCUAGUGGAUCUUAAAAACAAACCCUGGAAGGGCCUUUUACCUUUUCCCGGGAUUACGUUGUAAUCCAAACAAAUACGUAAGAAGCAAGAAAACAGAAACGGUGAGAUGAGAGUUUAAUGCAGCGUGUUCCGGGGCCCGAGCGACGUAUCGUUGUCUGUGCAGAUGGCACCGCGUCACGAUGGGUUCGUCUCGGCAUCUCUCCUCUCCUCCCCCAAGCGUCUUUGGCCUCACGGGCCCCUUUCGCAGGAAAACCACUCAACACGCCAGAAAAGCCACGGGUCUGCUCUUCCGUGGGCCGCCCGGAGCAGCGCGGCUCUUAAGCAUGUCGGCGAAGACGGAGACUCAAAGAAGGGCAACCUCAGAGCUGCCUUUGGCUCUUGUACGGGAAUUCCUCACCACGGCCGCCCCUUCCAGGCACGUUGGUGCUGACAAACUCACCGGACUCGGUCACUGUUUUACAGCUUCCUGAGAGACCCCGAGCCAAUCAAAGCAAAGCGCAUGACCGUCCUGAUGUCAGGAUGGCGGCAUCCGCGCCCCAUCUCAGCCCCCUCCCCCCACGCAGUCCCCUGGAGUCCCCUGUGGCUUCUUCUCAACCCCCCGCGGCCGGCAGUCCAUGGGAUAGCCACGCGCUUGUGUCUCUGGGGCUCGCCACCUCCCCGGCUGGGCUUGAACUGCUUGGGGCGGGGACUCACUCCUCAACCACGUAGAUGGCUGUGCGUGGGGCAUCGGGGGGCGUCUCUGUGGGAGCUUGGGUCCUGUUACCCCACUUCCCUCAGCCUUGGCCUUGUCAUCAGUGAAGUGGGGCUGAUGAUUGUCCCCGAUCAGAGGUGCCAUCAUAAUUUUUAUUUUAGAGAUGAGGACUUGGCUCACUAACCUUUGAUAACCACUGCCUUAGUUGUCGGUAAGUCAUUCAUCUAUCCCUAAACCGUCCAUCGAUCCAUCCAUCCAUUUGUCUUCCUUCCAUCCAACCAGCAAACAUCCACCCAUCCGGCAGCCACUAGGCAUCUCCAGGAGGUGGGGAAAGGCCACAAACUGAUGCC